rfam:Trichobilharzia regenti genome assembly, scaffold: TRE_scaffold0003236
AUCCAGCUGACCACGAGUCCCAAAUAGGACGAAAUGUUAGUUGUCCUGGAU